rnacentral:lncRNA from 1 species
ACUCUACCAUCCUUGUCCUUGAUGCACCUAACUUGGACAAGAUCACGCGCCUUCCGUUCCCUUGCUUUAGCUAACCGGAAUAACUUCAUGUCCCCGCCUUUCUCCCAUAAUUCCUCGUACAUGCGACCAAAUGCCGCGUUUUUGACUUCCGUAACCGUCAUUUUUGCUUCUUUCCGCGCCGCCUUGUAAUCUCCCUGUUCGUUCUCCGUUCUUCCUCGCUCGUGCUCCCUGUCAUCUUUGCAAACGCCGCCUUCUUCACCUCCACUUUUCCUUGGACUGCCUCGUUCCA